AGAUGGGUAGGCCUAUUACUAUUAUUGGUAUUAUUGUUAAUGUUAUGUUAGGUGAGCACACUCACUGACAGUGACACUCACACUCACGGGCCAUCAUGGCCAUGGCCAUGCAGACGCAGUGACAGUGUGGGCUAUUAUAUAUCACAUAAACUGUGAGAUGCAAACUUGUGAUAUCGUGAUAUGGGUAGGUAAUCAUUAAGUGCAUCUCACGGUUUAUAUUAUAAGCCCACAGUGUGACGACAAUCACAAUUGAAUAAUGUCGAUGCCAAAAUCAUGAAAUGCGAGUAUCGUAUAGCGAGGCUAUAGUUUUGUCCAAGUUUGUUACGAACUGACUACGGGUACGGCAGCCGUAUCCCCAAUAUGAAAUUGAAUUAAAUGCCGAAUUUUCAUCGUUUACUGAACUUGAAAAGGCAAAAAGAAUAUAUGAAGAUGUAAACUUUUGCAAGAUGUAUACUCGGAGGUCUCGAACGAUCGAGAAGUGCCUGAAACGGACGCCGAAGCGGCACUUUAAUCCACAACUGCAGUUUGGCGACCUGCCGUACGAAUAGCCAAAAAAUGUUCAGAUACGGCUGCCGUACUAUAAAAACCUAAACGGCAGUGGCAGUGACGUAACCGGAGGUGAAUGCUUUUGCGCAUGCUCAGAUCACUGCCGUACGAAUAGCCAAAAAAUGUUCAGAUACGGCUGCCGUACCCGUAUCCUCGGCCAAGUUGUUAUGUAAACUUGGAAAUCUGGACUUUUACUACAUUACAUUGCAAAUACAUUACAGUCAUAGGCUUACUCUGAAAAGGUUCCCUUCAAACUUUUCAAACAAAAUUGGCAUUUGGAUUGUGAAAAAAAAGGAUGCAACUGUGACUCUUUCCCGUUUCCCUCUCUCUGCAACCAAACAAUGGAGAGAAUAAAGUUUUAAUCCUUCUCGUAUUGUUCUGGACACUCUCCACGCAUGCGAGGAGUUUGGUCAGGGUCUUUCUCGAAACUGUCUAUUGUACUGCCACAUCGUGAGAAGAUGAUGGUAUGGUACAAAUGUAGAUAGCCAUGGUAUCUAGCACUGCAUUUACAGAAGCUUAGCAGCCCACCCGGCCUUCAUGUAGGCCUACCGGUACAUUGAUUUAGUUAAUGAAUUAUGAGUGACUUCCUCACGCACGCUGUUAUUGUAACUGAACCACUGAGGACCAGGAAUGCUUAUUAAAAGUGGACCCACAAUGAUUAUGAUGACAGUACAGUACUGCCACUUUUUAAAGGGUAAUUAAAUUAGCGCCAUGUCUGCAUGACAGAAAUAGUAAAAUGGGGAUACAAAGCAGACCUGGCGAUAUAUUAUCGUGCAAUGUUAGCAUCAUUGGGAAUUGCCAUUCUAAAUUUUAACUUCUUCAUCUUUGCGAAAAUUCGGGCUGCAUAGCAGCCAUCUUUUAAAUCUUUUUUCUGAUUUCAUUGCCAAUGGUUGUAUGCAGAGGUACAAAUAAUACCCAAAAGAUUCAGGAGCAGAUACACUGCCACUAAAAGUGACUGACAAUAAUCUUCAGAUUGUGGCAUGUGACCUCUUUGCUAGACCGUCUGACCCAGAUUUGUUUGCCUUCUCUUUUACAGGCUGCACCAGCAAGUAGGCCUGAGGCAACUUCUCAACCUGUGAACAAUAGGAAGUCAGUCAAAGCUAAGGUAUGUGUGUGACCAAGUUUCCAUCACCGAAUUCUUUUUAGACCUUGAGAUUGUUCGGACUUAACUUGUCAUGUCCAAUCUGUCAUCAUGACUUUAUGGGAAAACCUGUGGCAUGUUUGUCAAGGUUCCGCAGCAAAACAUCCCCAUAGCAUAAUGCUGCCACCUCCGUGCUUCACAGUCGGUACGGUGUUCUUUGGAUAACCCCCCCCCCCCCAUUUUGCCAACGUACUGCUGGUAGUUGUGGCCGAAGACUUCGCUUUUAGUCUCAUCAGACCAAAGAACACUCCUCCAGAAGGCUCUGUAUUUGCCCACAUGUUCUCUCGCAAAGUUCAGCCUUGCUUCCCGGUAGCGUUUUUGAAGUAAAGGCUUCUUUCUUGCCCUGCAGCCUCGUAGUCCACUACGAUGCAAGACCUUCUGGACAGUGGACAGUGACACAUUUGUCUCUGUAGCUUCUAAUUCCUGGCAGAGGUGUUUCUUGGUCGUCUCGGGGUUAAUGUGCACCUUUCUAACCAAUGUGGGCUCAUCUUUGGCUGUCAGCUUGCGCUUUCUUCCUGACCUUGGUAAGGUUGCUGUUGUCCCUGGGUCCCUGUACUUCCGCUUUAUUGUCUGAACUGACGCCCGUGGCAUAUCAAGCUGCUUGAAAAUGGCUCUUAGUGAAGUACCAGACUGGUUCAAGUGGACAGGCGACUCUAUCAGAUCUUGAGAGUACUCCUUUGACCCCAUGAUGGCUCUAGUCUAAGCUGGCAAAUGACCUGAGCAGAAACCCAGUCCAUUUUAUACUGCUACAGUGGCGCCACCUGAGCUAUGACAUAAUCAUGAUGGUCAACAGGUAGUGGAGACAAGAUAAAAGCCAUUGCAUUGCCCACCUCAAGGCCAAACAACUAGUAGAUAAGAAAAGAAAAGCCAGCAAGGGAAAAGCAAGCAAGGCGAAGGGAGACUAUUGCGCAGCUGAGAGAAUAGACAACUACGACCCCAAAAACAACACGUAUUACAUAAAGUGGCAAGGAUAUGAUGCGUCCCACAACUCAUGGGUAAAAGCGGAAGACGUAACUUCUCCUCUCAUCUCUUCUUACAAAGAAAAAUUAGGUUUCGGAACGCACAAGAAGUGAUGCACCUCAUGUCUUUCGAUUGUUGAACAAAUUUAUGUGAAUUUGUGCAAAUCCUCCUGCCUGUGUUUUUUUGUUCAGUGGAAUUCACGUAUUUCGGUAUUCCUUCUUCACCUCCACGCAUUAUUCAUUCUGACAUAAACUCACAUGAUCACUUUUGAUGAAAGAUUACAUAAUGGAUAAUAUUGAAUUCGUGCAAAUAUUGUACAAUGUAAACUUAUCAUAUCUUUCAAAGGUCUCAUUAAAAGUAAAUGUAAGUUACAUGUACAUGUACUGUGGAAUUAUUGUUUUUUCAGACAAUCUGUGGCUGUUGUAUACAUGUAUCAUUCAAUAAACGUGGCAUUUUUCAUAUUAU